GUGGGGAAUUUUGGACAAUGGGCGAAAGCCUGAUCCAGCCAUGCCGCGUGCAGGAUGAAGGCCUUCGGGUUGUAAACUGCUUUUGUACGGAACGAAAAGACUCCUUCUAAUAAAGGGGGUCCAUGACGGUACCGUAAGAAUAAGCACCGGCUAACUACGUGCCAGCAGCCGCGGUAAUACGUAGGGUGCAAGCGUUAAUCGGAAUUACUGGGCGUAAAGCGUGCGCAGGCGGUUAUAUAAGACAGAUGUGAAAUCCACGGGCUCAACCUGGGAACUGAAUAUGUGACUGUAUAGCUAGAGUACGGUAGAGGGGGAUGGAAUUCCGCGUGUAGCAGUGAAAUGCGUAGAUAUGCGGGGGGACACCGAUGGCGAAGGCAAUCCCCUGGACCUGUACUGACGCUCAUGCACGAAAGCGUGGGGAGCAAACAGGAUUAGAUACCCGGGUAGUCC
rnacentral:rRNA from 1 species